GCAGACUGGCCUUCCCAUGUGCAUCCUGGGAGCACUCUUCGGACCCGUCCGUCUCCGUGCUCAGAGCCUCCAGGUGCUUUUCUCAGAGCUGAUCCCUUGGGCGAUUCAGAACGGGCGCAGGGCCCCAUGUGUCCUCAACAUCUACUAUGAACAGCGUUGGGAGCAGCCCCUGACAGCCCUACGGGAGGAGCUGGGCAUCAGUCCUCCCCCAAAACACAUCCAGGGCCUGGCCUAGCCUUAGCUGCCUCCCAGGGAGGAUGGAGCCUUCCUUUCCACACACUGCCUUCCUGGAGACAAAAGAGCCCUUGGCUGCUUGUGUUUCUUCUCAUUGAACCUUGAACUCAGAGUGUCACUUAUCAUAAUUUUUAUAGUCACUGCUGCCAUGUGCCUUGAGGGCCUGCCCAGGAAAGAGAGGUAGGGCAGUGAGGCCCCAGGGUGCUGUAAGCUAUCUGGAGAGAGCAGUACGUGUGCCUGGAGCAGCCAUCUUGGAUCAGUCGGGAUUGCUCAGGUCUGAGGCCCCUCUUCUGGACGGUGAUUCAGGCUCUCUUUGAAAGCUUGACUACUUACUACAUCAUGUUGCAAAGCACUGAACCAAGUGGUGGGAAAGAGAAGGCAUCUCUGGUGUCUGAAUAAAGCUUCCAUCAGGCCUAGAGUCAGCUGGUCAUCCUUGGCCUAGCUCCCUUUACCUCAGGGGUCCUGAGUUCAGCAACUACGGGGAGGCUCACAACCAUCUGUAAUGGGAUCUGAUACCUUCUGAUGUGUCUGAAGGCAGCUACGGUGUACUCACAAACAUAAAAUAAACAGUUUUAAAAAGU
rnacentral:lncRNA from 1 species